GCCAGUUUUCCAUUAGAAAUCUAACCCUAAUCCCCCUUCUCACGUUAUCCAAACAAACCUGGUGUGCCACAUUCCUCCUGUCUGUGUUACAGUGGAAGAACAGUCCCAGGAAAGCUUAAGCAUGAUGUGAAAAGAAGCAAGACACUGGAGAGGGGAAAGUUGGAGGUGAUCAGCGUUGGAAAAAGCUGGCAUGGAGGUAAUGAAAAGAAGAAGGAGGCCUUGUGGGAUUUGAUUCCUAUGAAAAUGGCACACGUUUCUCAUUCUGCAGAAGCCCAAAGCUUUCCAUCAAGCUGGGUUUACACAUGGGGACCAGAUGUGGCCAUCCCAAAAGAUCUGCUCACUUCUAUGCUCCCUCUUUCAUUUCUCCAGCUUAAGUACAGCGUGAGACCUACGGGCCAGCAAUCCAUCUGAGGCUAAGUGGAAACCAGGAGUGAUUGCUUACAACGCCAUAAAUAGCUAAAUCACCACUUUCAAAAGCAAAUAGGGAUAUGUGAAUUAAAAGCAAACUCUCCA
rnacentral:lncRNA from 1 species